rnacentral:rRNA from 1 species
GAUGAACGCUGGCGGCGUGCCUAAUACAUGCAAGUCGAGCGAACGGACGAGAAGCUUGCUUCUCUGAUGUUAGCGGCGGACGGGUGAGUAACACGUGGAUAACCUACCUAUAAGACUGGGAUAACUUCGGGAAACCGGAGCUAAUACCGGAUAAUAUUUUGAACCGCAUGGUUCAAAAGUGAAAGACGGUCUUGCUGUCACUUAUAGAUGGAUCCGCGCUGCAUUAGCUAGUUGGUAAGGAAACGGCUUACCAAGGCAACGAUGCAUAGCCGACCUGAGAGGGUGAUCGGCCACACUGGAACUGAGACACGGUCCAGACUCCUACGGGAGGCAGCAGUAGGGAAUCUUCCGCAAUGGGCGAAAGCCUGACGGAGCAACGCCGCGUGAGUGAUGAAGGUCUUCGGAUCGUAAAACUCUGUUAUUAGGGAAGAACAUAUGUGUAAGUAACUGUGCACAUCUUGACGGUACCUAAUCAGAAAGCCACGGCUAACUACGUG